rnacentral:lncRNA from 1 species
UGGAGACUGCCCACAUCUGGCGGCAUUGCUUCUGCAUCCUUGGCUAUGCAAGUUGUGUUCAGGGUGAGCGACCUGUAUGCCUGUCUAAACAAUCCGCUUGGAACAUAAGAAGGCAUUAGUACGCCUGCAAGAGGGCUCGGGGACAGGGGAUAGACAGGCUGGCAGGGCCAGCGCAGGGGAGUCCCGCCACAUUCCACCUGCCAGCACGGUUUCAAGAGUUGCCUGCAUCCACCUGGACUCAAAUUCAGCAUACAUCUAAAUGUGUCUGCAGCCUAUGCGGACCGCUCCCACCAAGCAAUACUUAGCAUACAAGCUCAGCCACGAAGACUAUAUAACUUCUUUGCCGCUCACGCCUCGUGGCUAGCUUUCUGUACCUGUUUACUUAUUGUAAAUAAUAGCAUCAGUUUAUGCUGGUGAAUGACUGAGCUGUCGCGAUGACAGCUUGUGAAGCGGCAAUUUGCAACGGCAACGACGCGUGUACAUUUUCCUUGAUAAUGACGGGCAUCGCACCCAGAAGGGCCCUUUUGCGUGCCCUGUAAACCCAGCACACCUACCCCCCCCCCUUCGCUGGUGGAGCGGGUCCCUGCGCACCCUCCCCUGCCUACGAUCCUGUGUGGCCGCACAAAAUAUACAUGUGGGCAGCACAUCAUCAGCCACGUGUUCAUGGCCAAUUCGCGGCGCUGCUGCACAAGAGAGUGGCAGGUAGGGCAACAUACUUUGUGCUCAGGGGUAGGUGCUGCAUGCAAUACUUCCCUGCAUUCCGAAAAGGGUAGAGGAGAGCUGCUGGAGGCCUGGGUUGUAGGCCUGUAGCUAGCAGGCAGUGGACGAGGGCGAGGUCAGCGUAGACGGGGUUAAAAAAUAGAUAAACCUUCAUCCUGGGACAGCUCCAACUAACGCCCAACUAACGCCCAAAUAACUCGUGUACGGCACCCCCACCCCCCUCAGCCGUACAGGAGCUGCGGUUGGGUGUCGGUAGCUGCCGCGGCUGGGAGCUGGUAGUUGUACGGUGGGCCGGCUGGGAAGCUGCCGAGCCUGGGAGCCUGGGACGCACACGGGUCGUUGGCAUGGGUCGGGUAGCUGUACGGCUGGGAGCUGGAAGUUGCGCGGGAGACCGGCUGCAAAGCGACAUGAGUGCAUAGGUGUACGGCGGAGGUCAGGGGAUGGUGGCUGGCGGUUGGCGUGGCGCACGAGUGGGAGCUGGCAGUUGCAUGUGGUGCCGGCUGGGAAGCUGCGUGUGAGCUGCGUGUAAACUCAGAGGGGAUGCAUGGGGCUGCGCCUUUUCAUGAGCUGCAUCUGGGCUGCACACGGGAUUCACACGGACUGCACUGUAACUGGCGCGGCGGGGCGGCGCCAGCCGUCCCCGCCACGCUGGGAAGUGGCGUGUGGGAUGUGAUGGGAUGUGAUCCAGCCAGGUGAGGACAUGGCCGCGUGCGGUGCACUGCGUGCACCAGUGCGGCGCGUCAGUCUGCCUACCUACGAUCGAGCUGCAUCAGAGCUCACACGCGGCUGCGGCUGACCGGCGCGGCGGGGGGCGGCGCCGCGCUGUGGGGUGAAAGGAGCGAGGCACAGAAACUCAAGGGAAACUCAGUCAAAACUCGGAGGAAACUCGGAGGAAACUCGGCUGAAACUCCGAAGUCGAACAAUGGA